rnacentral:lncRNA from 1 species
GCCUUUUAAGCAAAGCUUAAACACACUGUCAUUUUGGGAAACAGAAAAUACAAAUAUGAAGAAACAGUAGGUAAAAAAAUACUUUGGGAUGAUGUUAGGAGUCAGGGGACCAGAUACAGUGGCUCAAUAUCUUAAAAAGUCACUUACCUUGUGGUAAUCCUGCUAUAAUCUCACUAGAAAUUUGGCAAAGUAUCUCUUCAUAAGCAUUUGUUUUUAAUUUAAUAGGUCUCCAAACUACUCAGGAUAAUCAGAUCAUAUUUUGGUUAACCUCGAUGUUAACCAUGAUAAAGCCAUUUGGUGCUCAUUUUUUAUCUAAAAGAUGGAAUGAUUUUUUUUGACUGCCUCUCCUCUUUACAAGUCAAUACAUUAUUUCUUUCUUCUUACAGUUAAUCUGAAAUUUAUUCUGUUUUAUAAACCUAUGCCAAAUAACCCCACUAAUAGUAAUGUGUUAAUUUUUUUCUAAUUAUUACAGUAUUUAUAGCUAAUGUUAUCCAAUUAUAUAUAUUGGACUGGAUACUGCCUUGCUUAUGUAUGAUACUUAAGUUUUGUCAAGUCAUUUACAAGGUUCUUGAAUACAGAGUCCCUAUAGUUUUCUUCUAUAUAUUUUUCUUCUUUCUAUUAGCCCACUACUAAGUUGAGAGUAGAUGCUUGAUAAUUUGUUGUCUUGAAAUCAAUUCUAAGAAUUUAAAACUAGAUAUAAACCCCUUCCCCCUCCACUAUUACCAGCUUAAUCCCAUCAACAGUUCAGAAAAAUAAGACAGGAAAUAAUUGCUUGUGAAGGGCCACACAAGAAGUUAGGUAUAAAACUACAAUUGGACCUCAGACUUUCAAACCCAUAAUUCUGAACUCAAAACAAAAGGCCACACAGCCUCCAUCUAUAUAAUUAGAUUUAGAAAGCACUCAGGAAAGCAAAGCUGCUCUUGUCCUGAAGGAAAGUUUGUGACUGUGUAUUCUUUGCAGAAAGUAAGGACUAUGGAUCUCAUUAAAAUGUCCCCAACCUCAGGAUACUAUCAGUAUAAACAUUCUUGAAGGGGAACAUAUAUUCUGGGUCUGGGAGACAAAUCCCAUCUGGUCUACCUUGGAUGGAAGGCUCCCCUACUCUGUAGUGGUUGGUUGUUUUGUUGUGUGUGGACAGCUGAGAGUCAUUUCCUCAUCUUUAUUCCAAACGAAGCUGGACACUCCCUUUUCAUUUUUGAAAAGUAAUCUGUGUGAGAAGGCAGCCAGCAUGUUUACCCACUGGGCUUGGAGCCAGACUUCUUUCCCUGGUUCUUCCUCUCUCUGUUUCUCAAUCUCCCCUGCUCUAAGAUGGCCAGAUAUGAAAAGCUGCCAAUCGGGAUGCCAGAACAUCAAAGAGAUCGCUCAUGAGAGCACACAAAGUCCCAUUUGUUCAGCACUUGGACGGAGAUGCCAGCAGCUUCCAGGCAGAGGGAGAAUCGAAGGUUUGUCUUCACUUGACUUCUCGCUCACACCAUCUGGCUGAUGGAGAAUCCUUUCAUUUCUUCCCGUGGCUGGACCAAAGGGAGAAUGACUGUGAAUAGAAGUGCCUUUUCAACCUUCACUUGUAUCCAUUUUUAAAAGGACAAAUAAGCAUUAUUCACAAUAGCAAGAUGUGGGAACAACUCAAGUGUUAAUCAACAGAUGAGUGGAUAAAGAAAAUGUGCUAUACAUGUACAGUGUGAUAUUAUUCAGCUUUACAAAGGAAGGAAAUCCUGCCAUUUAUGGACAAUGUGGAUGAACCUGGAGGACAUUAUGCUAAGCAAAAUAAGCCAGUACCAAAGGUCAAGUACUGCAUGAUUCCACUUGUAUGAGAGAUCUUUAUAGUCAACAUCAUAGAAGUAGUGAGUGCAAUAGGGCUUGCCAGGGGCUGCAAUGUUAUUCAUCAGGCAAGUUCAAACUCAGAAGGCGAAAGUCCAGCGGAAAGUACCGGAACUGAGGGAAAACUAUUUGCCUAACCACCCACACCACUGAAUGCUUUCUUGGAAUCUGCUGUGUGUUUAAGAUGAUAUCCUACCCACACACAUGUAACCUUUACCUUUUUGCAAACCAAAUCUGAUUCUACAAGGAAAGCACAAAAAUAAAAAUAUUUUUCUCUCAAAUUAUAUCAGAUUUGUUUCUGCUCAAAUUAUCUCAGACUAGUUUUAAAAAUUGUA